AACGAACGCUGGCGGCAGGCUUAACACAUGCAAGUCGAACGGCUGUAGCAAUACAGCAGUGGCAGACGGGUGAGUAACACGUGGGAACCUUCCUAGGGGUACGGAACAACUCAGGGAAACUUGAGCUAAUACCGUAUACGUCCGUAAGGAGAAAGAUUUAUCGCCCUUAGACGGGCCCGCGUCGGAUUAGCUAGUUGGUGGGGUAACGGCCUACCAAGGCGACGAUCCUUAGCUGAGCUGAGAGGAGGAUCAGCCACACUGGGACUGAGACACGGCCCAGACUCCUACUGGAGGCAGCAGUGGGGAAUCUUGGACAAUGGGCGCAAGCCUGAUCCAGCCAUGCCGCGUGAGUGAAGAAGGCCUUAGGGUUGUAAAGCUCUUUUGGCAGGGACGAUGAUGACGUUACCUGCAGAAUAAGCCCCGGCAAACUUCGUGCCAGCAGCCGCCGUAAAAC
rnacentral:rRNA from 1 species